CCCCUCUCAGGGUCACACCUGGAGAGUUUCCAGGACUCUACCAGUCUCGACCUUGGGAGGGAGAGUCAAGCAGAGGCAUAUCCAUUCCAUUCCUAGCUUGGGCAGUGGUUAGUGAGUGGAAGGCAACCUGCUCCAAGU